rnacentral:miRNA from 1 species
CACAGAAGCAAGAACAGCAAGAGGGAUUGCUGCUUUCACUGCGCGGCGAUCCCUCUUGCUGUUCUGGCUUCUGAG